rnacentral:rRNA from 1 species
UAAGGAAUAUUGCGCAAUGGGCGCAAGCCUGAUCCAGCCAUGCCGCGUGGAUGAUGAAGGCCCUAGGGUUGUAAAGUCCUUUUCGGCGGGGAAGAUAAUGACGGUACCCGCAGAAGAAGCCCCGGCUAACUUCGUGCCAGCAGCCGCGGUAAUACGAAGGGGGCUAGCGUUGCUCGGAAUCACUGGGCGUAAAGCGCACGUAGGCGGAUUCUUAAGUCGGUGGUGAAAUCCUGGAGCUCAACUCCAGAACUGCCUUUGAUACUGAAGAUCUUGAGUUCGGGAGAGGUGAGUGGAACUGCGAGUGUAGAGGUGAAAUUCGUAGAUAUUCGCAAGAACACCAGUGGCGAAGGCGGCUCACUGGCCCGAUACUGACGCUGAGGCACGAAAGCGUGGGUAGCAAACAGGAUUAGAUACCCCCGUAGUCCCUGAGCGGGCUGGCAAGGCGCAU